rnacentral:rRNA from 1 species
CCUACGGGAGGCAGCAGUGGGGAAUAUUGGACAAUGGGCGAAAGCCUGAUCCAGCAAUGCCGCGUGAGUGAAGAAGGCCUUCGGGUUGUAAAGCUCUUUUACCCGGGAAGAUAAUGACCGUACCGGGAGAAUAAGCCCCGGCUAACUCCGUGCCAGCAGCCGCGGUAAUACGGAGGGGGCUAGCGUUGUUCGGAAUCACUGGGCGUAAAGCGUGCGUAGGCGGCCAUUCAAGUCAGAGGUGAAAGCCCAGGGCUCAACCCUGGAACUGCCUUUGAAACUAGGUGGCUGGAACACGGGAGAGGUGAGUGGAAUUCCGAGUGUAGAGGUGAAAUUCGUAGAUAUUCGGAAGAACACCAGUGGCGAAGGCGGCUCACUGGACCGUUGUUGACGCUGAGGCACGAAAGCGUGGGGAGCAAACAGGAUUAGAUACCCUGGUAGUCCACGCCGUAAACGAUGAUAACUAGCUGUUGGGGCUCUUUGAGCUCCACGUGGCGCAGCUACGCAUUAAGUUAUCCGUCCGUCGGGUAGGUACGGCCGCGAACGGUUAAACGUAACAAUAGUAAGUUAGUACGGCGUGAGACGUGCCGACGACGACGACGAGGGAGGUAGG